AUGGAGUCCCUCGAAGCGUGGAGAUGCUACCAGAUUGCCAAUAACCUGUACAUAAGGAUACAUUACUUUUGCACAGAUUGUUGUAGAAUGUUUUGUUUAAUGACAUCAGAGGUAUUCAUACUAUUAGACCUUCUCUAUUCCUAUUUUCCUGUUGUGGAUAAUAGCAUUUACAUAGGACACUCUGAAAGUAAUGCCUCCUAUUUAUUUCCAUGGAAACUUCAACACAUACAAAGAGCACAGUAACACUAUUUCAUAGAGCAAAUUCUAAUCUACAAUACACUGUUUCUCAACAUAGUCAUCACCACUAGCUGAGUGAGAGGCUCUUCAUUUUGUGGUAUGACAGCUGUGCAUGGCCAUCCAGAACAUGGCUUGAACUUCAUGUCUGUGUCAUCACUGCUGACGCGCAACACCCACAACCUCACUUUGCUCACAUCCACUGGUUGGUCUCCAUAAACAUUCAGCAAACAUCAAUGAAUGUCAAUAUUUGUGUUUUUUUCCACAUGGAAGAGUUCAGUGACAUACCCUUGCUUAAUAGGCACUUCCACAUCAGGCUUGUCAGACUGCCCCUCUGCUGCCAUCUGUCACAUGGCAAAAAAAUAUAAUGGAAUAUUGGUGGGAAGAUUCAGCCUCUACUGCCAUACCACCAUCUCUGACACUGUGGAGUAACAUAAUAAAAUAGGAGGCAUUACAUUUGAAGCA
rnacentral:lncRNA from 1 species